ACAAUUAUAACACUAGUUCGCGUAAGAUCACUGAAGUUAACUAACGUUGUGCCUGGUCAGUUCCCAGAAGGGUGACCGGUUGGGAAUACCAGGUGCUGUAAG